rnacentral:piRNA from 1 species
GUUUGUUUUUUUAAUUAACUUGAGUGUUU